rnacentral:rRNA from 1 species
GAUGAACGCUGGCGGCGUGCUUAACACAUGCAAGUCGAACGAAGCACUAUAGCAGAUUUCCUUCGGGAAUGAAACUGUAUUGACUGAGUGGCGGACGGGUGAGUAACGCGUGGGUAACCUGCCUUGUACAGGGGGAUAGCCUUUCGAAAGAAAGAUUAAUACCCGAUAGUAUAAUUAGAUCGCCUGAUUUGAUUAUUAAAGCAUUUCGGUAUAGGAUGGGGAUGCGUUCCAUUAGAUUGUUGGUGGGGUAACGGCCUACUAAGUCUUCGAUGGAUAGGGGUUCUGAGAGGAAGGUCCCCCACACUGGUACUGAGACACGGACCAGACUCCUACGGGAGGCAGCAGUGAGGAAUAUUGGUCAAUGGGCGAGAGCCUGAACCAGCCAAGUAGCGUGAAGGAUGACUGCCCUAUGGGUUGUAAACUUCUUUUGUAUGGGAAUAAAUGACAUUACGUGUAGUGUUUUGUAUGUACCAUUAUGAAUAAGCAUCGGCUAACUCCGUGCCAGCCGCCGCAGUAAUAC